GGACUUUUGUACCGAAAGCAUGCUAAAAUCGCUGCAAUGUUCACAUCGUCAAAUGAUAAACAGGAACCUACGACAUCAAUCCACACAACGACUAGAGUAACAGAAACAACCUUUGCUGACGAAUUUGCAUCCAGUAGCAGUGAUGAAGAAAGUCAUAAUGAUUCGGUUGAUGAACAUUCAUAUGUUUCGAGUGAUGAUGACAACCAAAUGUAUUGUGAAGAAAACUUUGCAAACAUGUCAGCCAUGGAUUGUUUGCGAUACUGGGCACUUGUGACAAAUCAAUCGCAUAAUUCCAUACGAACGAUAUUAAAAAUUUUUAGAGAAAAAUCGAACUGCGUUUUUCAAAAAAGUGCUAAAACAUUAUUAAAAAAACCAAAACCGCACCAGCCUAUCAGUGCAAUUAACUGAGGACAAUAUUAGUACCAUGGAAUUGCAAAAAAUAUGACCAACUUUUUGAGGUAGCUAUGCAAUGAAAAAUCCAAAACAAAAAUAAUUUUUUUUUAAAUAACAUUGUUUUACAUUUUAGGGAUACUCCACCAGUCCAAAGAUUUUCGCUCAACAUAUCCAUUGAUGGAUUGCCAUUACACAAAAGUAGUAAAACUCAAUUUUGGCCUAUUAUGAUUAACAUUCAAGAAAUGCCUAUGGUUCCGCCGAUGAUAGUGGCUAUAUUUUGCGGCCCAUCCAAGCUUGGAGAUUUAGCAGCAUAUCUACGUCCUUUUGUUGAUGAAAUAACAGACCUUAUACAUAAUGGGAUUUUAAUAAACUCCAGGAAAAUUCCCGUAAAUUUAAGAGCUAUCAUAGCGGACUCUCCGGCUAUAUCAUUCAUAAAAGGUAAUAUAUAAUAAUUACUAUAAACUAAUAUGUAUAUAAGGUUGUGAAAACAGAUGUUAUCAUAAACUUUUCUUUUGUUUUUAUUUUAGGUGUGGCUAACUACAAUGCUAAGAAUGGUUGCAUGAAAUGCAAUUGUGAAGGAGAAUAUAACUAUGAGUCUCGCACGGUUAUUUUUAAAGGAAUUUCUGCUUCCAAGAGAACUGAUGAAGAAUUUCGUAAGGGUGUUUACGGAAAAUACCAUAAAGGUAUAACGCCAUUAAUCGACAUUCCAAAUUUCGAUACAAUCGAUGAUGUAGUUAUAUCUGACCCGUUACAUUUACUAGAUUUAGAAUGUACACGAAAAUUGCUUUUAGGAUGGAGAGAUGGAUCGUUAGGUUUGAAAACAAAAUGGUCCACGAAAAAGUGCAAACAAAUUUCAGACGGCCUCAGUACAAUUAAGCUUCCUUCUGAAAUUCACAGAGGAAUUCGUAAAAUGAAAUAUCUAUUGGAAAGGUAGUGAAUUAAAUUCAUUUUUGCUCUAUGCUAGUAUAGUGGUUUUAAAAGACGUGAUGGAUAAAAAAGUUUAUAACCAUUUUUAUUAUAUUUUUGCGCUAUAACUAUGUUGUCUUCGGAGGCAUAUAAGCAAAAUUGGCACGUAGCAGGUAAGAUGCUUGAUAAUUUUGUUGAUGAAUUUAAAAACAUCUACCACGAAAAGUAUCUUACCAGUAAUGUGCAUAAUUUGUUACAUGUUUUGGAUGACGUGAAGAGAUUUGGUGUCCAUAGUUCGAUUUCCACGUAUCCCUUCGAGAAUCAUCUUCAAUUUAAAAAAAACAUUAUUCGAGGUGGAAAAAAUCAACUUGAACAAGCCAUAAAUCGUAUAACAGAACUACAAAAUUAUCUGAUGAUGUCGUAGAAACAAGAGAUAUUCAAACCAUCGAUACAGAAAAACAAGAUGAGACUAUAUUACACUUGAGCAAGACAUGCACGUUGAGAGCAGGCAAUCGCGAUGGUUGGUUUUAUGUACCGAUAAUACCAUAGUGCAAUACUCAACUGCUGAAGAAACAUCAUCUUUACCAUUAAUUUAUGGAAGAAAAAUGGAAUUCAAAACCGAUUGGAAUUCUUAUCCUUACAAAUCUUCCGUCUUACACAUUUAUAAGACGCAAAUGUCGAAUCUAUACGUAAAACAUUAUAAAUUCAAAAGUGAAAAUGUGAAAUGUAAACUUGUUGCUGUACCAACUUUAGAAGCAGGUGAAAUAGUAUUUGUUUCGUUGUUACACUCAUUUUUCAAAAAAUAAAAACUAAUUGGUAUAUGUACGACUGAAACCAAA